GUGUCAGCAGCCGCGGUAAUACGAAGGGUGCAAGCGUUACUCGGAAUUACUGGGCGUAAAGCGUGCGUAGGUGGUUUGUUAAGUCUGAUGUGAAAGCCCUGGGCUCAACCUGGGAAUUGCAUUGGAUACUGGCAGGCUAGAGUGCGGUAGAGGAUGGCGGAAUUCCCGGUGUAGCAGUGAAAUGCGUAGAGAUCGGGAGGAACAUCCGUGGCGAAGGCGGCCAUCUGGACCAGCACUGACACUGAGGCACGAAAGCGUGGGGAGCAAACAGGAUUAGAUACCCGGGUAGUCC
rnacentral:rRNA from 1 species